rnacentral:rRNA from 1 species
GCAGGCGCGUAAAUUACCCAAUCCUGACACAGGGAGGUAGUGACAAUAAAUAACAAUGCCGGGUCUUUGUAGAUCUGGCAAUUGGAAUGAGAACAAUUUAAAUCCCUUAUCGAGGAUCAAUUGGAGGGCAAGUCUGGUGCCAGCAGCCGCGGUAAUUCCAGCUCCAAUAGCGUAUAUUAAAGUUGUUGCAGUUAAAAAGCUCGUAGUUGGAUUUGUGGUUGGAGCGACCGGUCCAGCACUGUGUGCAGGUACUUGGUUGUCUCCGUCCAUCCUUGGGGGGAAUUUGUGUGGCAUUAAGUUGUCGUGCAGGGGAUGCCCAUCGUUUACUGUGAAAAAAAUAGAGUGUUCAAAGCAGGCUUAUGCCGUUGAAUAUAUUAGCAUGGAAUAAUGAGAUAGGGCUCCGGUACUAUUUUGUUGGUUUGCGCACCGAAGUAAUGAUUAAUAGGGACAGUUGGGGGCAUUCGUAUUCCAUUGUCAGAGGUGAAAUUCUUGGAUUUUUGGAAGACGAACUACUGCGAAAGCAUUUGCCAAGGAUGUUUUCAUUAAUCAAGAACGAAAGUUAGGGGAUCGAAGAUGAUUAGAUACCAUCGUAGUCUUAACCAUAAACUAUGCCAACUAGGGAUUGGUGGGCGUUGUAUUGACCUCAUCAGCACCUUAUGUGAAAAUAAAGUCUUUGGGUUCCGGGGGGAGUAUGGUC